rnacentral:lncRNA from 1 species
GGCGUUAACUAAUAAUACCUAAUUUUACUUGGCUUUUUAAAGUUGAACCCGGGGAACUUCACAACUGAAAGUUAAUACGGCAAAAUUACAUAUAUACAACAUUUUAAAGCACAAUAUUACGUUACCUCAAACAUUUAAAAGUGUGAAAUAUGUAUUGAAAGUACCUAGGCAUAGGACUCGCAAUUAACGAGGUACAUCCAAUCGAAUCAUUUACUCAAAUCAGCAUAAGUCCUCGCAAAACAAAACAAAGCAAAAUAGUCCCUACUAAUUACUUAAACUUUAAAUUAGGUAUAAUUUCAAGAGAUAAAUUCAACGUUAGGCAUUACUAAUAAUACCCUAAUUUAACUUGAACUUGAUCAUGUUAAAACACCAAGUCAAUAGCAUUAGUCCUCGCAAAACAAUUCAAAUACAAAACAGUCACUACGUCUUACUUAUUACUCGCUCAAAAAUUUAAAUCAACAUUAUUUUGAAUAGAUUAAGUAACACAUAAUGCGUUACUAAUAAUACCUAAUUAUUACUUGAGCCUUAAGUUGAACCCGGGGAAGUUCAAACCCAAUUAAUUAACGGUCCAAGAUACAAUAUCCAACAUUUAAGAAAGUGUUAAUUGUACCUCAUAUUUUACAAAGUGUGAAAAUUGUAUUGAAAGUACCCCAUGGCAUAGGCAUCGCAUUACUAGUACCUAACAUCCAAUCGAGUCCUUGAGUCAAUAGCAAUAAAAAUCCUUCGCAAAACAAAACAAUGCACAAAUAGGUACUAAACUCAUUACUGAAAAUUUAAAUUAGUAUAAUUUCAAGAAAAGAGACAAAUUACAACAUAAGGCAUUAACUAAUAAUACCUAAGUUACUUGAGCUCAAUCAUGUUAAACUCAAGAGUCAAUAGUAUUAGUUCUCACAAAACAAUACAAAUACAAAACAGUCACUACUUAUUACUCAAAAAUUUAAAUCAACAUUAUUUGAAAUAAAUAAAGUAACACAUAAAGCGUUAACUAAUAAUACCUAAUUUAUUUGAGGUCAAAGUUGAACCCGGGGAACUUCAAACACAAAUUAAUUACUGUCCAAGAUACGUAUACAACAUUUAAAGCAAAUGUUACGUACCUCAAUAUUUAAAAGUGUGGAAAGAUGUAUUGAAAGUAACUUAGGAUGGCAUCGCAAAACUAACGAGGUACAAUCCAAUCGAGUUCCUUAGUCAAUAAGCAUAAGUCCUCGCAAAAACAAAACAAAUGCAAAAUAGGAACUCCUCAUUACUUAAAAUUUAAUCAGAAUAUUGUAAGAGACAAAAUACAACAUAAGGCAUUAAAUAUAGUAAUACUUAAUUAACUUGAACGUGAUAAUGUAAACACCAAAGUCAAUAGCAUAGUCAUCGCAAAACAAUACAAAUACAAAACAGUCACUACUUAUUACCUCAAAAAUUAAAAUCACAUUAUUUGAAGAGAUAAAGUACAAAUAAGGCGUUAAAUAAUAAUAGCCUCAUUUAAUUGAGACUUAAAUUGAACCGGGGAACUUCAAAGUCGAGUUAUAUACGGUCGCCAGAUAAUAUACAACAUUUAAAGAAAAUGUUACGUACCUCAAUAUUAAAGUGUGAAAAUAUGGAUUUGAAAGUACCUGGCAUAGGCAUCGCAAUUAACGAGGUACAUACAAUCUAGUACCUUAGGUCAUAGCAAUAAGUCCUCGCAACAAAACAAAUGCAAAAUAGUCACUACUCAUUAACUUCAAAUUAAAUCACAGUAUAAUUUCAAAGAGGACAAUUACAACAUAAGGCCUUAACUAAUAAUACCCUAAUUAACUUGAGCUUGAUCAUGUACCUCAAGAGUGCAAUAGCAUUACUCCACUUCGCAAAACAAUACAAAUAUAAAAAACAGUCAAUACUUAUUACUCACAAAUUAAUUAAAAUUAUUUGAAUAGAUAAAAGUAAAACAUAAGGCAUUAACUAAUAACAGGCAUAUUUACUUGAGCUUAAAGUUGAACACGGGGAACUCAAACUCAAGUUAAUUAUGGUUUCAAGAAUAAAAUACAACAUUAAGAAAAUGUUGACGUCUUAAUAUUUAAAGGUGUCGAAAUAGGUAUUUGAAAGUACCUGAAAAAAAGCGGGCGGGCGGGGGGGGGGGCAUAGGCAUGUAUUUAACGAGGUACAUCCAAUCGAGGUCCUUUAGUAAAUAGCAAAGUCAUCGCCAAAAUAAUACAAAUACAAAACCGUCACUACUAUUACUCAAAAAUUCAAAUCAACAUUAUUUGAAAAAAGAUAAAGUUACAAGCAUAAGCGUAACUAAUAAUCCAAAUUUACUUGAGCUUAAAUUGAACCCGGGAAGUUCAAACCAAGUUAAUUACGGUCCAAGAUACAUAACAACAUUUAAAGAAAAUGUUACGUACCUAAAAUUUAAAAGGUGAAAAUAUGUACUGAAGUACCUGGCAUAGCGAUCGCAUUAACGAUGGGUACAGCCAAAUCGAGUGCCUUAGUGAAUAAGCAUAAGUCCUCGCAAAACAAAACAAAGGAAAAAUAGUCACUACUCAUUACUAAAAUUUAAAUCAGUAUAAUUCAAAGAGCAAAAUUACAACAUAAGGCAUUAAACUAAAUUAAUUUACCUAAUUAAUUGAGAUUGAUCAUGGUUAAACAACCCACAGUAAUAGCAUUACUCCAAGGCAAAAACAUACAAUACAAAACUGUCACUACUUAUUAUUCAAAAAAUCAAAUCAACAUUAUUUGAAAGAUAAAGUACAACAAAGGCGUUAACUAAUUAAUUACCAUAAUACCUGGACUUAAGUUGAACCCGGGGAGGGAACUUAAACUCAAGUUAAUUACGGUCAAAAUAAAAAAAAAAAACAAAAUUAAAAUAUUAAAACAAAUAUACGUACCACUCAAUAUUUAAAGGGUCGAAAUAGGGAUUUGAAAGUAACUUGAGCAUAGGCACCGCAUUUAAAGAGGUGGUACAUCCAAUCGAGGUCUUUUAGUUCAAUAGCAUAAGUCCUCGCCAAAAACAAAACAAAUGCCAAAAUAGUCACUACUCAUUACUUAAAGUAAAUCAGUAUAAUUUCAACGAGACAAAAUUUACAACAUAAGGCAUUAACUAAUAAUGCAUAAGUAAACUUGGAUUGAUCAAGUUACAACAACCAAGCAUAGCAUUACUCCAGGCAAACAAGUGCAAAUACAAACACAGUCACUACUUAUUAACUCAAAAAUUCAAAAAUCAACAUUAUUUGAAAGAGAUAAAGGUAAACAACAUUAAGCGUUAACUAAUAUACCUAAUUUUCUUGAGUUUAAAGUGAACCGGGGAACUUCAACUAAAGUUAAUUACGGUCCAAGAUCCCUGUACAAACAUUUUUUAAAGCAAAUAUUACGUACCUCAAUAUUAAAAGUGUGAUUGAAAAAUAUGUAUUUGAAAGUACCUGGGCAUACCAUCGCAAUUAAACGACGUACAUCAAUCGAAUCCUUUAGCAAUAGCAUAAGUCUCGCAAACAAAAAACAAAUGCAAAAUAGUCACUACUCAUUACUGAAAAUUUAAAAUCAGUGAUAAUUUUCAAAGAGACCAAAACAAAUAAGGGCAUUAACUAAUAAUAUCUAAUUAACUUGAGCUCAAUCAUGUUAAACUCAAGAGUCAAUAGUAUUAGUCCUAGCAAACAAUACAGAAUGCAAAACAGUCAUACUUAUUACUCAAAAAUUAAAUCAACAUUAUUUGAAAUAGAUAAAAGUAACACAAAGACGUAACUAAUAUUACCUAUUUACUUGAGCUUAAAGUUUAACCCGGAACCUCAACUCAGUUUAAUCACGGUCCAAGAUAACAUACAACAUUGAAAGCAAAUAUUGGUACCUCAAAAUAUUUAAAAGUGUGGAAAUAGGUAUUUGAAAGUUACCUAGGAUAGGCCAUCGCCAAUUAUACAAAGGACAUCCCACUCGGUCCUUUAGCAUAGCAUAAGUCUCGCACAAAACAAAACAAAUGCAAAAUAGCUCACUACAAUUACUUAAAAUUUAAAUCAGUAUUAAUUUAAAAGAGAACAAGCUACAACAAAGGCCAUUAACCGAAUAAUACCUAAUUAACUUGAGCUUGAUCAUGUUAAACACCAAGUCAAUUAGCAUUACUCCAGGCAACAAAAACAAUACAAAUACAAAACUGUCGACUACCUUAUUAUUCAAAAAUUCAAAUCAACAUUAUUUGAAAUAGAUAAAGUACAACAUAGGCGCUUAAUAAAAUCAUACCUAAUUUACCUGAGCCCCCUUAAAGUUGAACCCGGGGAACUUCUAAACUCAAGUUAAUUACGGUCCAAGAUAAAUAUACAAUAUUUAAAACAAAUAUUACGUACAUCAAUAUUUAAAGGUGUAGAAAUAUGGAUUUGAACUACUUGAGCCAUAGGCACCGCCCAUUUACGAGGUAAUCCAAUCGAGUCUUUUAGUCAAUAGCAUAAGUCCUCGCAAAACAAAAAACAAAUGCAAAAUAGUCAAUAUCAUUACUAAAAAUUUUAAAUCAGUAUAAUUUAAAGAGACGGACAAAUUAAAACAUAAGGCCAUUAACUAAUAAUGCAUAAGUAACUUGAGCAUUGAUCAGUUUAAACAACCAAGUCAAUAGCAUUACUCCCCCCCAGGCCAAAACAAUUUGCAAAUACAAAACAGUCAUACUUAUUACUCAAAAAUUCAACUAUCAACAUUAAACAUUAUUUGAAAGAGAUAAAGCCCUAACAAAAUAAGGCCAGUUCGGUUAAAUAAUAAUACCUAAUUUUCUUGAGUCUAAAGUUGAACACCGGGGAACUUCAAACUCAAGUUAAUUACGCGUCCAAGAUACAUGUAAAACAUUAAAAGCAAAUAUUACGUACCUCAAGUAUUUAAAGUGUGAAAAUAUGUAUUUGAAAGUACCUGGGCAGAGGCAUCGCCAAUUAACGACGUAAAUCCAAUCGAAUCCUUUAGUCAAUAGCCAUAAGUCCUCGCAAAAAAAAACAAAUGCCAAAAUAGUCACUACUCAUUACGGAAAAUUUAAAUAAAAAAAAAAAAAACCCAGUAGCAUUUCAAGAGACAAAUUAGCAAAAUAAGCGCCAUUAACUAAUAAUAUCUAAUUAACUUGGCCUCAAUCAUGUAAACUCAAGAGUCAAUAGUUUAGACUCCUCGGACAAAACAAUACAAAUGCCCCAAAACAGUCACUACGUAUUACUCAAAAAUUUAAAUCAACAUAUUUGCAAAAGAAAAGAACACAUAAGGACGUUAACUAAUAUUACCUAAUUACUUGAGCUUAAAGCUGAACCCGGGGAACCUCAAAGUCUCAAGCCUUAAUCACGCGCUCCAAAUACCACAUACAACAUUUAAAGAAAAUAUUAGGUAUCCUCAAUAUUUAAAAGUGGCCGAAAUAUGUAUUUGAAAGUACCUAGGCCAUAGGCAUCGCCACAUUAAAGACUGGGGCUACAUCCAAUCGAGUCCUUAGUCAAUAGCAUAAGUCCAUAGCAAAAACAAAACAAAUGACCAAAAUAGCACUACUCAUUACUGAAAAUUAAAUCAGUAUAAUUUCAAAGAGACUAAUUAAAACAUAAGGGCAUUAACUAAUAUACCUAAUCAAAUUGAGCUCGAUCAUGUUAGUUAAAAACUCAAAAGUAAAAUAGAUUAGUACUCGCCAAACAAUUACAAAUACAAAACAGUCACUACUAUUCUCAAAAAAUUUAAUCAAAUAUUAUUUGGAAAGAGGAUUUAUUAAAGAGUAAAAAUAAGGCGUUUGUUACCUUGAAUAACCUAAUUUACUGAGCUGAAAACUUGAACCCGGGAAAAACAUAAAAAGAAAGGAGAAGGAAGGGGGGAAAAGAGAAACCGAAAGGAAAAAGAAAAAGAAGCAGUUGUAGUCACGACAAGAUACAAAAUUUCCUUGUUUUCCCAUUCUUCCCAUUUUUUACAAGAUAGAUACAUAUACAACAUUUUUAAAGAAAAUAUUACGUCACAUCAAUAUUUAAAAGGGUGAAUUGAAAAUCUAUAUUGAAAGUACUGGGCUAGGCACUCAAUGAAAGGGAGGGGUACACCAAUCGAGUCCUAUAGUCAAUAGCAUAAGUCCUCGGCCAAACAAAAUAAAGCCAAAAUGUCACUACCACUCAUUACUUAAAAUUUAAAUCAGUAUAAUUCAAAAAGACAAAUUACAACAUAAUAAGGCAUUAACUAUAAGACCUAAGAAACUGAGCUUGAUCUGUUAAACACCAAAGUCAAUACAUAGACUACAAAAAACAAUUACAAUACAAAACAGUCACUACUUAUAUAAAAAUUCAAUCAAUUUAUUUGAAUAGAUAAAGUUGUGCAACAAAGGCGUAACUAAUAAUACCUAAUUUACUUGAGACUUACAAGUUGAGAUCGGAGAACUUCAAACUCAAGUUAAUUAAGGGUCCAGAUAAAUAUACAACAUUUAAACAAAUAUUACGUACCCAAUAUUAAGGUGUCGAAAUUGGAUUUGAAAUUACCUGAGCAUAGCAUCGCAAUUAACGGAGGUAGGGGGUACAUCCAAUCGAGUCCUUUGGUCAAUAGCAGAAGAAGUCCUCACAAAAACAAAACAAAUGCCAAAAUAGGCACUACUCAUUACUUAAAAUUUAAAUCAGUAUAAUUUUAAAAAGAAAAUUACAACAUAAGGCAUAACUAAAUAAUACCUAAGUAACUUGAGCUUGAUCAUGUUAAAACCCAACAACAUUGAAAUAACCCGACUUUUAGGUUUUGGGUUUAAUUGAAAUAUUCAUAACUUGUGAGAUAAAUUAAAGAGGACAUUUUUUAAAUUGAGAGAUUAUAAGUAAUUAGAAGUGGAGGGACUGAAGUGUUAAUUUUUUUUUUAAAAUAAUUAGAAUUGAUCUUUCUCUGAAAGAGGCCGACGAAAGGAAGAAAAAGGAAAAAGAAAAAGAAAAAGAAAAAGAGAAGAAAAGAAAAGAAAGAAAAAAAAAGAAGAACAAGAAGAAGAAUAGAGAGAGAGCAGAGAGAAGUUAGAAAAGGGAUAGACGAGGAGGCGGCCGUGGGAAGGAAGAGAAGAGAGAAGAGGGAAGGAAAAAGAGAGGGAAAGAAAGGAGAAGAGAGGGAGAGAGAAAUGAGGAGAAAUUAUAUGGUGUGGUUAAGUUUUGAUCAUGAAAGAUAGAGCGUGCAGAUAACAGUGAGAUGAUGUCAGAUCAAUGUGAAAUUUAGUAUGAUGAUCAUGGGGUUGCGCCAGUCUUCAUAUCUAGUGGUGUUAAUUUCAAUUUGAGGUAAGCAGGAGGUAUACAAUAUGCUUUCUAAACGGAGUUGUUUUUCUAAAAUAUCUGAUUUUGUAUUUCUCUUGAGAGUGUUGAUAUCUGUUGAAAUCCAUGGUUAUUUGUUGGCAUCGUGAUAUGUAUGAUGUGAUUGUUUGAUGGCCUACAUGAUAUGGAAUGGAAUGGUACAUGUACUGAGUGGAUCCGCCGUAGUUCCAUUUAUGGACCGGGAAAAAGCCCGAGAGCUAGGGACGGGAUGAGGCGAUCACUAGUAAUGUAUCAAGGAAAGACCUGGUAUGGGGUCUUGAUGAAAUAUGGAUUCGUUGUUGCUACUCUGGACAUUUGUUUUGAGCCGUUAUUGAUUGUUGGCAUAUUCCCGUCGUAUUGUCUACUUCGUGUUAAAAUUAUUUUUCAGGCGAAAGUAGGGUGUUCGGAAAUACGAGUGGGUCGCGUUGAAAGGACUUGAAGAUUUGUAAUCUUGUUGUAUUAAUUACAUUUUUGGAGACAUUGUAAAAAAAUAUUUGGAGAAUAUUGAAUAUUGAGGAAAAUAGUGCUCUGAUUUGUAUUUGAGAAAAAAUACGGGAAUUUAGGUAAUUAAUGAACGGGAAACGGGAGGGUCGGGUGUCACAAAUUUCUUUCCUCUCUUUCUUCUCUUUCUUUCCCUCUUUAUUCAUUUCAUCUGACCUAUUUUAGAUUUUAUAAGUAUAGUAUAUAUUAUAUAAAAAUAUAUGAUUUUAUUAUUAUUUUUUUUAUUUUCCCUUUCUUUUCCUUUUCCUUUUUCUUUUUCUUUUUUUCUUUUCUUUUCUUUUCUUCUUUCGGCCCUGCGCAUUAAGCCGUUGAAUUAAUAAAUAAAUUACACUUUAACCCCUCCAACUUUUUAAAGUAAUUAUUUUAUUUAAAUGUUCUCUUUAUUUAACUCAAAAAAAUUACUAUCUUUCAAUUUAACCCCAGAAAGAAUUAAAUGCCUUAAUUUAAAUUACAAAAAUUUUAUUUUCUUAAAAUAAAUAAGGUAAUUAAGAGUCGGGAUAUACAUUCUUUCCCUCCUUAAAAAAAAAUUGUCUCAAAAUUUUUUUUUUUUUUCCCAUUCCAACUCUAUCACUCCAUCAAUUCUUCUUUACUAAUUUAUAUAUAUAUUAUAUAUAUAUAUAUAAAUAUCAUGUGUCUUUCUUUUUCCUUCUCUUUAUUCUUUCUUUAAUAGAAGUAAACUUUUUUUUCUUCUUUUUCUUUCUCCAUGCUAUCUCUCUUUCCCAUAACAUAAUAAAAAAACAAACAAAAGGCCCAAUGUGGCGAAAGGGUUUGAAAUUUACACUUUUAAGUCCCUUCAAACUUAAAUAUUUCUUUAAUUUUAUCUCAAAAGUUAUGAAUCUUUCAAUUAAACUCCAAAAUUACUUUACUUAUAUAAUUCAUACUUAGAAUACAAAAUUUAUUAAUUUUACAUAAUAACAUCUAUUAUACAUGUUCGUAUUUAUGUACCUAUUUAUAUCUAAUUUGCUUAAUACAUAUGUAAAAAUUCGGGAUGUUGUUACAAAAGUCAGUAGCAUUAGUCCUCGACAAAACAAUACCAAAUACAAAAAGUCACUACUUAUUAUUCAAAAAUUCAAAUAACAUUAUUUGAAAGAGAAUAAAGUACGACAUAAGGCGUUGAACUAAUAAUACCUAAUUUUCUGAGUUUAAAGUUGAACCCGGGGGAACUCAAACUCAAUUAAUUCGGUUUUCCAAGAUACAUAUACAACAUUUUAUAAAGAAAAUGUUUACGUACCGCACAAUAUUAAAGGUAGUAAAAAUAUGGAUUUGAAAAGUACAGGGGCAGGGGCAUAGAACAGGAACGACCGCGGCGGGGUACAUCCAAUCGGUCCUUAGUCAAUAGAAUAAGUCCUCACAAAACAAAACAAAUGCAAAAUAGUCACUACUCAUUAUUAAAUUUAAAUCACUACAAUUUAAAAGAGAGGAAAUUACAACAUAAGGAAUUAAAUAAUAAACCUAAUUAACUUGAACGUUGAUUAGUUAAAACACCAAAGUCAAGCAUUACUCCUCGCAAAACAAUACAAAUACAAAAACAGUCACUAUUAUUACUCAAAAAAUUUAAAUCAACAUUAUUGGAAAUAAGGAUAAAGUAACCAUAAGGCGUUUUAAAAACUAAUAAAUACAUAAUUUACUUGAGCUUAAAGUUGAACCCGGGGAACUUCAAACUCAAGUUAAUUACGGUCCAAGAUACAUAUACAACAUUUAAAGAAAAUGUUACGUACCUCAAUAUUUAAAGGUGUCGAAAUAUGUAUUUGAAAGUACCUGAGCAUAGGCAUCGCAAUUAACGAGGUACAUCCAAUCGAGUCCUUUAGUCAAUAGCAUAAGUCCUCGCAAAACAAAACAAAUGCAAAAUAGUCACUACUCAUUAUUUAAAAUUUAAAUCAGUACAAUUUCAAAGAGAGAAAUUACAACAUAAGGCAUUAACUAAUAAUACCUAAGUAACUUGAGCUUGAUCAUGUUAAACACCAAAGUCAAUAGCAUCUCCUUGCAAAAACAAUACAAAACAAAACAUCACUACUUAUUACUCAAAAAUUUUAAUCAAAUAUUUGAAUAGAUAAAGUAACACAUAAGGCGUUAAAACUAAUCCAUACCUUAAUUUUCUUGAGUUUAAAGUUUGAACAGGGGAACUUCAAACUCAAGUUAUCUACGGUCCAUAGAUACUAAUACAACAUUUAAGAAAACGUUACGUACCUCAAUAUUAAAGGUGUUGACAAUAUGGGAGUUGAAAGUACCUGGGCAUGGGUCGCAUUAACGAGGUCAUCCAAUCGAGUCCUUUAGUCAUAAGUCCCUCAGAUCAGGGGAUGGGAGAGGGAAUGAUGUUCCCCCCCCCCCCCCCUUCGCCGCCUCUUCCCUCCUCCUUCUUUUCAAAUUUAAAUCACUAGAAUUUCAAGAGGAAAUUACAACAUAAGGCAUUAACUAAUAUACCUAGUAAUCUUGAGCUUGAUUCACGUUAAACACCAAAGUCCAAUAGCAUUACUCCUUGCCAAAACAAUACAAAUACAAAACAGUCAUACUUAUUACUAAAAAUUUAAAUCAACAUUAUUUGAAAUAGAUAAAAGUAAACACAUAGGCCCCGUUACUAAUAAUACUAAUGUUUCUUGAGUUUAAAGUGGAACUAGGGGAACUUCAACUCAAGUUAGCUACGGUCCAGAUACAUAUACAACAUUUAAAGAAAAGUUACGUACCGCAAUAUUUAAAGGUGUGAAAAUAGGGAUUGAAAGUACGCUGGGAAUGGGAUCGCAAUUAACGAGGUACAUCAAUCGAGUCAUUUAGUCAAUAAGUCCUCGACCAAACAAAACAAUGCAAAAUAGUCACUACCCAUUAUUAAAAUUUAAAUUCUAGAAUUUCAAAGAGAGAAAUUUACACAUAAGGCACGUGAAACAACUAAUACUAAGUAAUUGAGCUGAUCACGUAAACACCAAAGUCAAUAGGCAUUAUCCUUCUUGCAAAACAAUACAAAUACAAAAAGUCACUUACUUAAUUACUCAAAAAUUUAAAUCAACAUUAAUUUGAAAUAGAUAAAGUUAAACACAUAGGCGUUAACUAAUAAUACAUAAUUUACUGAGCUUAAGUUGAAUCCGGGGGGGGAGGGGGGAAUUCAAAAUCAAGUUAAUAACGGUUUCAAGAUACAUAUACAACAUUUAAAGCAAAUGUUAGUUACAUCAAUUUAAAGGUGUCGAAAAUGUAUUUGAAGUAACUUAGCAUAGGCAUCGCAAUUAGCGACGUGGUACUCCAAUCGAGUUCUUUCGUCAAUAGCAAUAUAGUCCUCGCCAAACAAACAAAUGCAAAAUAUACUACUCUUAUUUAAAAUUAAUCAGUACAAUUUCAAAGGAGAAAUACACACAUAGGCACUUAACUAUAAUACCUAAGUAACUUGAGCUUGAUCA